CUACAUUUGAGAGGGUGGGCCUAUUUGGAUGAACCGAUUCACUACAAUGAAUCGGAUUUACGUCACACAUGUGAAAGGGAGAGAACCGUUUAGGAGAGCGCGUUUGAUCGCACAACCGGUUUCAUAAAGUACCUCUUUAUUGUUAAAAAUACGCAGUUAUGAAAAUAACAGAGCUACUGUCACGCUACUGAAACAUGUGUGGCAGGCUCUCCAGACCAGGACGAGUGGUGGAGGUCCUCAGCACCACUCUGCCAGUCCCUGUGAUCCGCAAGACAACCGGUUUGCUCCAGAUGUGCUGAGAUUUAUUCUGUGGUGGGGCUGUUUCUGUGCCUGGUGACUUCUCUACAGACUGUGCCAAGAAAGCCUGGCUGGUUGUUGAGCGGCAGCGUCUGAGACGGGCUCAGCUGGCUGUGCUAAAAGAUAAGAAAAAGAGAACAGAAAGCUCUCCCUCUCUUUCUGUUUCUAUCCAUUUCUCUCUCUCUCUAAAACCCAGAGGAGCUGACCUGCAUUAAGACAUCAGGAAGAGUGGGGCGGUUAAUAGGAUGGAUACAGGCAAACAUCUUCAGAAGCUUGUUAAAGAGAGCAGCGUUGGCAGCGAUUUAGAAAAUCAGCUAUUAUAGUUUAAUGAGGUUCAUCAAAUCCGAGUUGGCAAAUUAUAGCAUUCUGGCCCCCUCCCAAAAAACAUCUCUUUUGCUCUGUGACAUCUCCAUCUCCGUGUACUAAUGCGUUUAUAAGCUGUGUAGAAUUCACAAAGGCAGUCAGUAUGUGAGCCUUAUCGCAUGAAUGAAGCAUCCCUGGCCAAGAUUUUCCAGCCGUUACAUCAGAACACCUCUCCUCCAAAAGCAGUUUGCCAUAGGACUAUCUGACCGGAAUUUCCACAUCCACUGCAAUUUUGUGAUGACCCCUGCACUUCAAAGCUUAUGUAUGCAUAUACAGUGUACCAAGUAAGACAACAUACAUAUAUCAGAUGAUCUGAAUCAGGGGUGUCCAGUGCCUGUUUUUUCUAAUUUUUUUGUAACAAAAGUUUUAAUAUUAUGUUGUUACUGUCAUAUGACAACAUAAGAC
rnacentral:lncRNA from 1 species